rnacentral:RNase_P_RNA from 1 species
AUGGGCAGGUAGAUGGUCGCUCCUGCAGCAAUGCAGGGGAGGAAAGUCCGGGCUCCGUAGGGCAGGACAGUGGCUAACAGCCACCGCCAGGCAGCUGGACACAGGUGUCUGGCAGGGAAAGUGCCACAGAAAAGAUACCGCCUGGCACCUAUGGCAUUGGUGUCAGGUAAGGGUGAAAAGGUGGGGUAAGAGCCCACCGCUGGGGUGGCGACAUCCCAGGCAUGGCAAACCCUGUCCGGAGCAAGGCCAAAUAGGUUCCGCCCCGAGGGUGGCCCGCCCGAUUGUGCGGAACGGGUAGGCUGCACGAGCCAGGGAGUAAUCCCUGGCCACAGAUAAAUGACCAUCCACGACAGAACCCGGCUUAUUCCUGCCCAUUAAA